UGCCAUUCACACACUCUAGUUCAAUGGUA
rnacentral:piRNA from 2 species